rnacentral:rRNA from 1 species
AGAGUUUGAUCCUGGCUCAGGACGAACGCUGGCGGCGUGCCUAACACAUGCAAGUCGAACGGAGAUAAGGGGCUUGCUCCUUAUUUUAGUGGCGCACGGGUGAGUAACGCGUGGAUAAUCUACCUUGGAAUCUGGGAUAACAUUUCGAAAGGGGUGCUAAUACCGGAUAAGACCACGAGCUCUUUGGAGUUUGCGGUAAAAGGGGGCCUCUGUAUAUGCUUCUGUUUCAAGAUGAGUCCGCGUACCAUUAGCUAGUUGGCAGGGUAAUGGCCUACCAAGGCGACGAUGGUUAGCUGGUCUGAGAGGAUGAUCAGCCACACUGGAACUGAGACACGGUCCAGACUCCUACGGGAGGCAGCAGUGGGGAAUUUUGCGCAAUGGGGGAAACCCUGACGCAGCAACGCCGCGUGAGUGAUGAAGGCCUUCGGGUCGUAAAGCUCUGUCAGAGGGAAAGAAGUGUAUGGCGGUU